ensembl:lncRNA
GCCUCGAAUGUGUCCGUUGUGUUGCUGUCUAUGCAGGGUCAGAAAGCUCUCGGAUUUCAUCAAAAAUAUCUUAAUUUGUUUUCCGAAGAUGAACGAAGGUCUUACAGGUUUGGAACGACAUGAGGGUGAGUAAUGAAUGACAGAAUUUUCAUUUGUGGGAGAACUAUCCCUUUUAGUUGGGAAAUAUAUAAUACUGUGUACAAGUCCAAGUCUCUUCUCAAUUCAGUGGAGAACACUGUCUUGACCUUACACUACAGUCUCCAGGCUCACAGGCUUGUUGGGAUUACUACAGCACACUCUUCUUCUUGGAGAUCAGGAUACGCCACGGUGGAAUUCAGUGAGAUAAAGGAAGAACAGCAGUCUAUUCAGCAACUGGCUUAUCACUGGCCUUUUUAACACUCAUCUUGCUACUUGCUAAAGUCUGUGUUAAGGUCCUAACUGCUCAUGUUCAUAGCUGGCCAACAAACCACUACUAUGCUUUCUUUUCCCAUAAAAUGUAUUGCACCAUCUAAAAAAGCACAUUUUCACUCAUGUGUGCCUUUAGCCCUGUGGUAUCCUAUCUACUCUACAGCAGGACGGGGGCCUAUAAGAUUGAUAUUUCAUGUUAAAUGAACAUUCCUCAACAAAUGACAUGGUUGUCAGACUUUUAAUGUAUUUUGUUGGAGCAGACUUGAGCUAACAAACAGAGAAAAUAAGACUGCAAACGGUUGCGUAUACACUAUGUUUUGAGUUCUUAUAGAGAUUGGCUGAUACCAUGGCAACCAUCACUGAAAAAGACAUGUUGAUGCUCUGUGUGUCCUUUAUAAACUCUUUGUAUCUUAUAUGGAUGUUUUUUGUAUAUCAGGCAGUGUUUCUAAGUAAUGGACAUUUUAUUUUUAUUUUUUUUAAAGAAGACUGAGGCUUCUAUAAUUAUUGUUGAGCCAUCUUUAAUUAUUGUUAUAUGUUUUUAUUUUUGCAACAAACAAAAAAAUAUUUCAGUGAAAUCUUUUUGAUAUUUAUCUACUUCAUGUUGUGUAGUAUUUCUGUAUAAUCAGAGUGGGCAUUUCCAAUCUGAAUGGUCUGCAUGCAAUGGUGCUAAAAAC